UACGAAGGGUGCAAGCGUUACUCGGAAUUACUGGGCGUAAAGCGUGCGUAGGUGGUUUGUUAAGUCUGAUGUGAAAGCCCUGGGCUCAACCUGGGAAUGGCACUGGAUACUGGCAAGCUAGAGUGUGGCAGAGGGUAGUGGAAUUCCCGGUGUAGCAGUGAAAUGCGUAGAGAUCGGGAGGAACAUCUGUGGCGAAGGCGGCCACCUGGACCAGCACUGACACUGAGGCACGAAAGCGUGGGGAGCAAAC
rnacentral:rRNA from 1 species